GUCGGUGGUUGAUAGCGGUAGGGAAACGCCCGGUCCCAUUUCGAACCCGGAAGCUAAGCCUACCUGCGCUGAUGGUACUGCACUCGGGAGGGUGUGGGAGAGUAAGACACCGCCGACC
rfam:Corynebacterium maris DSM 45190, complete genome.